rnacentral:rRNA from 1 species
UAAGCAUAUCAAUAAGCGGAGGAAAAGAAACUAACAAGGAUUCCCCUAGUAACGGCGAGUGAAGCGGGAAGAGCUCAAAUUUGUAAUCUGGCACUUUCAGUGUCCGAGUUGUAAUCUCGAGAAGUAUUUUCCGCGCCGGACCGCAUACAAGUCUGUUGGAAUACAGCGUCAUAGUGGUGAGAACCCCGUAACUGAUGCGGAUGCCCGGUGCUUUGUGAUAUACUUUCGAAGAGUCGAGUUGUUUGGGAAUGCAGCUCAAAUUGGGUGGUAAAUUCCAUCUAAAGCUAAAUAUUGGAGCAAGACCGAUAGCGAACAAGUACCGUGAGGGAAAGAUGAAAAGCACUUUGGAAAGAGAGUUAACAGUACGUGAAAUUGUUGGAAGGGAAACGCUUGAAGUCAGACUUGCUAUUCGGAGUUCAGCCGCAAGGUGUAUUCUUCGAUUUGCAGGCCAGCAUCAGUUUUUGGGGGUGGAAAAUCGUGGUUUGAAGGUAGCAGUUUCGGCUGUGUUAUAGCUUUCCACUGGAUUCAUCUUCGGGGACUGAGGAACGCAGUACGCUUUUUGCAAGGCUCUCGAGCUUUUCGUACUUAGGAUGCUGGUGGAAUGGCUUUAAACGACCCGUCU